rnacentral:rRNA from 1 species
UACGUAGGGCGCAAGCGUUGUCCGGAAUUAUUGGGCGUAAAGAGCUCGUAGGCGGUUUGUCGCGUCUGUCGUGAAAGCCCACGGCUUAACCGUGGGUCUGCGGUGGAUACGGGCAGACUAGAGGCAGGUAGGGGAGAAUGGAAUUCCUGGUGUAGCGGUGAAAUGCGCAGAUAUCAGGAGGAACACCGGUGGCGAAGGCGGGUCUCUGGGACGGUACUGACGCUGAGACGCGAAAGCGUGGGGAGCAAACAGG